GGUUCGAUUCUGGCUCAGACGACGCUGGCAGGAUACUUUACACAUGCAAGUCGAACGGCAGCACGGACUUCGGUCUGGUGGCGAGUGGCGAACGGGUGAGUAAUGUAUCGGAACGUGCCUAGUAGCGGGGGAUAACUACGAAAGCGUAGCUAAUACCAUACGCCCUUCGGGGAAAGCGGGGGACCUUCGGGCCUCGCGCUAUUAAAACGGCCGAUAUCGGAUUAGCUAGUUGGUGGGGUAACGGCUCGCAAGGCGACUGAAUCGUAGCUGGUUUGAGAGGACGACCAGCCACACUGGGACUGAGACACGGCUGAGCUCCUACGGGAGGCAGCAGUGGGGAAUUUUGGACAAUGGGGAAACCCUGAUCCAGCCAUCCGCGUGUGCGAUGAAGGCCUUCGGGUUGUAAAGCUUACUUUUGGCGGGAAAGAAACGGCGGGAUGUCUUCCCGUGCAACUGACGGUACCUGCCAGAAUGGCACCAGCUAACACAUUGCCAGCAGCCGCGAUACAUGGAUUGCAAGCGUUAAUCGGAAUUACGGGCGUAAAGCGUGCGCAGGCGGUUCGGAAAGAAAGAUGUGAAAUCCAGAGCCUAACUUUCAGAACUGCAUUUUUGGCUACCGAGCUAGAGUGCGUCAGAGGAGGUGAAUUCCCGCCGCCAUGUAAGUAAAUGCGUAGAUAUGCGGAGGAACACCGAUGGCAAAGCGGCCUCCUGGGAUAACACUGACGCUCAUGCGAAACGUGGGGAGCAAACGGGAUGAUACCCUGGUAGUCCACGCCCUAAACGAUGUCAACUAGCUGUUGGGGCCUUCGGGCCUUGGUAGCGCAGCUAACGCGUGAAGUUGACCGCCUGGGAGUGCGGUCGCAAAGAUUAAAGCUCAAAAGGUGACGGGGACCCGCACAAGCAGUGGAUGAUGUAAGUUAAUUCAGUGCAACGCGAAAAGCCUUACCUACCCUUGACAUAUACAGAUCCCGAAGAGAUUUGGGAGUGCUCACAAGAGAACGGAACACAGGUGCUGCAUGGCCUCAGUAAUAAUGUCGUGAGAUGUUGAGUUAAGUCCCGCAGCAGGCGCAACCCUUGUCAUUAGUUGCUACGAAAGGGCACUCUAAUGAGACCGCAGUGACAAACCGGAGGAAGGUGGGGAUGACGUCAAGUGCCAUGGCCCUUAUGGGUAGAACUACCCGUCAUACAAUGGUCAGGAUGAAGGUCGCCAACCCGCGAGGGGAGCCAAUCAGAAACCCGAUCGUAGUCCGGAUCGCAGUCUGCAGCUCUGUUGCGUGAAGUCAGGUCGCUAAAGUAAUCACCGGAUCAGCAUGUCGCGGUGAAUACGUUCCCGGGUCUUGUACACACCGCCCGUCACACCAUGGGAGUGGGUUUUACCGAAGUAGUUAGCUAUUUUGUAAGAGGCGAUUACACGACCGGAUUCGCUGACUGGGGUGAAGUCUGCUCAAGGUAA
rnacentral:rRNA from 1 species